AGCUUGCUCUUUCCGGAAUUGAGUGGCAAACGGGUGAGUAACACGUAAACAACCUGCCUUCAGGAUGGGGACAACAGACGGAAACGACUGCUAAUACCGCAUAACAUUGCCGAACGGCAUCGUUUGGCAAUCAAAGGAGCAAUCCGCUGAAAGAUGGGCUCGCGUCUGAUUAGAUAGUUGGUGAGGUAAUGGCCCACCAAGGCGACGAUCGGUAGCCGGACUGAGAGGUUGAACGGCCACAUUGGGACUGAGACACGGCCCAGACUCC
rnacentral:rRNA from 1 species